ensembl:misc_RNA 7SK 7SK RNA
GGAUGUGAGGGUGAUCUGGCUACAACAUCUGUCAUUCUAUUGGUUGUCAGGGUUGGUUUGACUGAUCUGGCUGGCUAGGCAGGUAUCCCUGUCCUCCCUCACUACAUGUGUGUCCAUUCUGAAGCUGCAUGCCUAGUUGAAGAGGAGGACCACCCCAAUAGAGCAGGACUGUUUUCUUGGUCAAGGGUAUUGGACUAGCUGUGCUCCCUGAUAGAACUUCUGAACAAGCUCUUAAGACUUGCAAAUCUAGCUUUUCAUGUGCCAUUGUAUUACUUCUAUUAGACAUAUCAAAAGGAAACUAAAAAAAAAAAUUACUAAUGUGUGGGUAUGUUAUAUCCUC